ACUAAGCUUCAGCUAUAGAAAAACCGUACCGUAAACCGACACUGGUAGGCAGGGUGAGAAUCCCAAGGCGCUUGAGAGAACUCGGGUGAAGGAACUAGGCAAAAUGGCACCGUAACUUCGGGAGAAGGUGCGCCCUUUGACGUGGUCACAUGCGUGACUGAGCGUUGAAGGGUCGCAGUAACCUGGCCGCUGCGACUGUUUAUCAAAAACACAGCACUCUGCAAACACGAAAGUGGACGUAUAGGGUGUGACGCCUGCCCGGUGCUGGAAGGUUAAUUGAUGGGGUCAGCCGCAAGGCGAAGCUCUUGAUCGAAGCCCCAGUAAACGGCGGCCGUAACUAUAACGGUCCUAAGGUAGCGAAAUUCCUUGUCGGGUAAGUUCCGACCUGCACGAAUGGCGUAACGACAGCGGCGCUGUCUCCACCCGAGACUCAGUGAAAUUGAAUUCGCUGUGAAGAUGCAGCGUUCCCGCGGCAAGACGGAAAGACCCCGUGAACCUUUACUAUAGCUUUACACUGAACGUUGAGUUCUUCUGUGUAGGAUAGGUGGGAGGCUUUGAAGCGCAGACGCCAGUUUGCGUGGAGCCAACCUUGAAAUACCACCCUGAAGUGCUUGACGUUCUAACCUAGGCCCGUAAUCCGGGUCAGGGACCGUGUAUGGUGGGUAGUUUGACUGGGGCGGUCUCCUCCCAAAGAGUAACGGAGGAGCACGAAGGUACGCUCAGCGCGGUCGGACAUCGCGCACUGUGUGCAAUGGCAUAAGCGUGCUUGACUGCGAGAUCGACGGAUCAAGCAGGUACGAAAGUAGGUCAUAGUGAUCCGGUGGUUCUGUAUGGAAGGGCCAUCGCUCAACGGAUAAAAGGUACUCCGGGGAUAACAGGCUGAUACCGCCCAAGAGUUCAUAUCGACGGCGGUGUUUGGCACCUCGAUGUCGGCUCAUCACAUCCUGGGGCUGUAGCCGGUCCCAAGGGUAUGGCUGUUCGCCAUUUAAAGUGGUACGCGAGCUGGGUUCAGAACGUCGUGAGACAGUUCGGUCCCUAUCUGUCGUGGGCGUUGGAGAUUUGAGGGGGGCUGCUCCUAGUACGAGAGGACCGGAGUGGACGUUCCGCUGGUGUUCGGGUUGUCAUGCCCAUGGCAUUGCCCGGUAGCUAUGAACGGAAGUGAUAACCGCUGAAAGCAUCUAAGCGGGAAGCACGCCCCAAGAUGAGAUCUCCCGAGAGCUUGACUCUCCUUAAGGCACCAUCAAGACCAGGUGGUUGAUAGGUCAGGUGUGGAAGUGCAGCAAUGCAUGGAGCUAACUGAUACUAAUGAGCCGUGAGGCUUGAUC
rnacentral:rRNA from 1 species